GCUGGCUCUGAACGACGGGCAACCGUGAGGUCUUGGUGUCAAGCACCAGCCAAUCAAGGUCAAAAGUCUGCUCUUUGCCACUGAUGGCAAAUGUUUUCAAGGAUAUGUGCAGGUAUUCUUCGUAGCAAAUGGCUGCC